GGAAGCGUAUCGAAGUGGUCAUAACGGCCCUGACUCGAAAUCAGGUAGUCCAGCAAUGGGCUCGUGGGUUCGAAUCCCACCGCUUCCGGCA
rnacentral:tRNA from 2 species